rnacentral:rRNA from 1 species
AUUGAACGCUGGCGGCAGGCCUAACACAUGCAAGUCGAGCGAGCGGCGGACGGGUGAGUAAUGUAUGGGGACUGCCCGCUAGAGGGGGAUAACUACUGGAAACGGUGGCUAAUACCGCAUACUAUCGGAUAACCCAUAUGGGAUUAGCUAGGAGGUGGGGUAAAGGCUCACCUAGGCGACGAUCUCUAGCGGGUCUGAGAGGAUGAUCGGCCACACUGGGACGGAGACACGGCCCAGACUCCUACGGAGGCAGCAGUGGGGCAUAUGGGACAAUGGGCGCAAGCCUGAUGCACACAUGCCGCGUGUAGGAAGAAGGUCUUAGGGUGGUAAAGUACUUUCAGCGGGGAGGCGUUACCCGCAGAAGAAGCACCGGCUAACUCCGUGCCAGCAGCCGCGGUAAUUC